AGUAAUGCCAGGACCACUCAGUGUUGAUAAUAAUGAUGAUUUACUUAAUUUUAUAAAAUUAAGAGUACUUUUAAUGGGCCUAAGCAAGAAGCUUUUACAGGAGAAACUUUCCUAUCUGAACCUGCUAUUGUCUCUUCUUUGGAGGAUAACACUGUCAUUCUAAUGGAGUCAGAAGUCGCAGUCCAACUCCAUUGCCAAGUCUGAACCUUCCGAUGAAAGACAUGCAGGUGAAGAAGCAGGAAACCAGAACUCCAAGC